CAAGAUAACCGCUACUAUGUCAUCCUUUAAUCUCCUCUUUUCCAAACUAAACAUACCCAGUCCUUUCAGCCUUUGCUCAUAUGGCUUGCAUUCCAUCCUUUGAUCAUCAUUGUCAAUGUAUGGAUAAAGAAGAAGCAAGAGCUAGAGGCAGGGCAAUUCAGCCCUUGGCCUCUCUGCUGAGAUUGAGAAAAAGCCAAAUACAAUGGUGCCAUCAUAAUCCAUGUAGUAAAGAUUUUCAAAUACACACACAUUGCUGUGCAAAACACAAAAGAGAAAGCAUACAGUAUGUUACUACUGAAAAAACAUCAAAAAGUCAAAAUAACUUGGAUGCCAUACAUCUUAUACCCACAUGAUGAUUGUGAAAGCUCACCAGAACAGGUUGAUUGGAAGAUCUCACACUUUACCAGCCUUAAGACAUAUUCAAGUUUGUCUUUAUGGAAUACGCAAAGAGAAUGGAUUGCUAAAAUUUCUCUUUAAACUUUUCUCAUCUAAGUCACCUCUUAUUUCCAGGAAAUUCUUCUAAACAAUCCAGAAUUUUACCAGAUUGGAAUCCAUUCAUUAUAUUUGUUUCUUUUACACCCAUUUCCAUGGAAGUUCGUUUACUGAAAAAAGUCUACUAUCUAAUUAGAUGUAAAGUCAAUGUAUGCACAUGGGGAAAAAUUGAAAACUCCUUAGAUCUGUUAUGUCUGGAUCAAAAUUUUGCAAUAAAGAGUUGUUUUUAUGGCAACAAUUAUGGAUAAUGUAGCCCCCUUUACUUUUUUAUUGCAUGGUAUUCAGCCAACCACCUCCUCCAAAAAAAACCCGUCCAAAACAUUUAUUGCUUUAAUUAUCGCUGUUGUUUCUACUUGCUCUGAGUUGAUAUGGAAACUUUCUCAGACAAGAUGGCUGUAUAGAGUCGUGAGUUACUGCAAAGAAAUAGUUGCUAUUUCCACACACUAGGGGGAAGUGCAAGAAGUUGUUAACCAUACUCAGUAGCAGUUUUGAAGCUGGUGUGAAAGGCUUCAUUAAGGGUGAACUUUCCUGUAUGUGCACACACACCCUUACUUAGACUCUGGAAGCUCCUGCACAAUCAGUAGUGAGUUCUGUCAGAGGUACAAAACUGGCAGUCAUGUUGAGUGCCAGUCAGAUCCAGCCCAACCCUUCAAGGGCAAGACAGAGCUGUCAGGUUAACCCAGACUAAAUCUGUGGAUUGGAUCUCAAUGCAGUUUCCUAUAAAUUUACAGAAGUCAGUGGGAUUGAGACUGGAAAAAUUCCAUACAGGAGGAAUUGCAGGCUGGAGGCCAUGUUUCUUACAUCAUUGAACCAAGUAGCUAUAGUAAUUGUCAAUUUUCCCCCCUCAUUGGAAGUUGUAUAUGUGCUCAAUAGUGUGAAUUUUGGGGAAAAAAACAAAACAAAAAACAACAAAAACACAGGUAUGUGGUAGAACUAAAUGUUUUAUUUAAUUGUCAAUAUCAUACC